UUCGGGAUCGAACGGCUCGCCAUCUUUCACCCACGAGUAGCUGCAAAUGGAAACGUCACGUCAGUCAAACAAUGGAUUCGAAGCUCCUCCGUGACUUCAUUUAACCUGACCGUCCUCGCCAGCGGCUCACUAUCAAGGUCUCGAAAUACCUUCUCAGACGCAGAAAAAGUGUAGAGUUUUACCUCAAGUCAUACCCCAGGGUCUCCGCUUACCCUCGCAGACGUAGUACAGUCGCUGUUGCCCGUAGACAGUGGAAACAAUUUCCCUCCUCCGUGGGAUAAUGAAAGUGGAGUGAUGCAGAGUAUCACAUGAGGACAAUCGGAGGUUACUUAAGGCUGCAUUACCUGGGCACAAGCUGGAGCCAGUCAUUUAACUCAAAACAAGGUGAUGAGAAGGGGAGGAAUCCCUCCCAUUCAGAUGAUGAUGUAGGGAUUGAGAAACGACGAAACGGAGGAGGGUUUUCUUGCUACAGUGUGGUAGUUUCGUAACUGUCAUAUGAGACCUCUGCUUGCCUUCCAGCAUGGAUCCCCCUCUCUUGUCAUGAGGAAGAAGCAGAGGUUGAUGUUGCAGGACCUUUAGACAGACUUUUCAAUUUUAGCUGUUUUGUCUACAGUUCUUGUCCAUGGUUCUUACUCUGUCUUGUGUCUGUGUGGAUGGAGGGUUGGUGCUUCGGCACUACCUCCCCUCUUGUUCCUGUUUUGAAGGAUGAGAAGUCCCAGAUAACUUUCCUUGAUGAAGUUCCUUUGCCUCCCUUGCUCUUUUUGUUGCCAUAUCAGUUUCUCCAUCUUUCUUCCCUUCUAGAGAUGUUGGAUGGAAGAAUACAUUAGUCUGGAGGAAGACGACUCACCAUUGGAGUUGCAGCCAACAAGCCGUGUUCAGCCAGUCAUUUCAGUUCAGGUGUGUGCACUUCGUUGCUUUGUGUCAUAGCUUCAAGAGCUACCUCAUUCCCCCCCUCCCCCAGCUUUUGAUGUUGGAUUUGAAGAAGUGAAGCCUUCAGUAUUGGAUUGCAGAAAUUGAGCCUUCUCCUUCGUCUUUUGUGUAGGCCACAACCACGUCUUCCCUGAACGUACCUCCCCCACUGUGCAUCUGCUGUUAGUGCUGCUCCUGCCCAGAUCGUCGCCCUUCCCCUUUCUUCCAUUGUCCUUCGAGACCGAGACAAGUGUUUCUUAAGUGCCACAGUAGUAUUUAGCCAACAAGGACUUCUUUUCCCUGCUUUUUUCUUUCGAAGUUCCUGGUUGCAAUGAUUGGAUCUGGUCAGUAGUACAGUGGUGUACCUCAGGAUACGAAAUUAAUCCAUUUCGAGGCGGCCUUUGUAACCUCAGCUUUUCAUAUCUUGAACCACAUUUUACAUGUAAAUUGCCUAAUUCAUUCAAAGCCCUACAAAAACACCUCAGCAAAUUAUAUUUCCAGGCUUACAACACAUGUUUUAGGGUUACGACGCCGAUCCAACGGAAGAAAUUUAGCAGUUGCUACUGUGGCCUAGUCUAUGAUUCUGACAUCUAAACCUAAGAAGCUAAAAGCUUAGAAUAUGCCAAGAAAAUAUAUAAAUAAUCAGUAUGUACUCAUUUAAAAUAAUUAUUAAUUAAUCAUUAUCCAUAAUGCGUACACAAACAAACAAAAUAAGCUUCCAACCUUUUGUUUACAUUCACCACUAAGAGUACCAAAUGAUUGCUUUACCAAACGAUCGCCAAGCAACCACUUUUACCUACCACACAGUUUAGUAAUCAUAAAUUUUCAUUAUCUCUCUUCAACUACUGAAACUACCAAACAGUAUAAUAACCAUUCAUUUAUAUUCUUUAUUCUGUCUUUACCUAAUGAAGAUACCGAGUUACUGAAAGCUAUAAUGAAACAUAUAAUAUUAAAACAGAAGAAGAAUUCUAGAAAAUAUUUGUUGGCUUCGAUGAUAGCAGUCUGAUUUAUUUUAUAUUUUAUGAUAUCUAAUUCACAAUUUUUUGUAUUAAAUGUAUUGCAUGUACUUAUUUCAAAUAAUUAUUAAGUAACCAUUAACUAUAAUAAACAGACAAACAAAACAAAAAAAGCUUCCAACCUUUUGUUUACGUUGACACUAUACGAGUAGCGAACGAUCGCCAAACAACCACUUUUACCUAGCACACAGUACAGUACGUAAUCAUAAAUUUUAAUUAUCUCUCUUCCACUACUGAAACUACCAAACAGUAUAAUAACCAUUCAUUUCUAUUCUUUAUUCUAUCUUUACCCAAUGUUUUUUUUUAGUAAAUGUAUUGCAUGAAUAAGUUUUUCAAUUUACAGCAUCCUUUUACCAAUAGAAUACAUAGAGUACAUGGGGUAGAUGCUGACCAAUAGGAGAGCAGGAUCUUACGGCAGUGACUAACAUCAGGAACCAAUGGGAGAGCAGGAGGAUGGUGGCGUGUCUACUCAGUUGGCAGCGCGCAAGUUUUAAAAUUGUUCUCAGUGGUCUGGGCGAAUCUCGGGACUUUACAGCAACAACCUUUCAUAACCUGAACUAUUUUCGUAUGUAGAGCCAAAAAAAUCUUUGUAUUUGCUUUCGUAACUUGAAUUCUUCGUAAGCUGGGACUUUCGUAUGUCGAGGUACCACUGUACAAUUGAACCUCUGUUUUCAUACACCCUGGUUUUCUUAGUCUUUUACCCGACAAAAUUAUGUCUCAGGCUUCAUACGUUUCUUCAGGUUUUGUACACUCAGAAGCACUCCUUCCAAGGCCCACCACAUGACUGGGACCCAUACCGAGUGCCAAAACAAAGCAAACUCUUCUCUUGCGACCCAUUCUGCCUUUGCUUCUCAUUGAGUGAGCAUUACCUUACUCUCAGUCCUCAUCACUGCAUGUGUCCAUUGUGUUUUGUGCUAUUAUUGCAAGGGAAACUGGUUGCAAUACAAGCCAUCAUGGGGCCAAAGAAAGUUCCAAGUGCCAGCCCUUCAGUAAAAAAGGCCAGAAACAUGAUAGAGUUUAAGAAAGAACUUGUAGCAAAGUAUGAAAAGUGGUGCAUGUGUUGGUGAUCUGGCAAGGAUGUACAGCAAGUCAGUGUCAACAAUCAGCUCUAUCCUAGCAAAGAAAAGUAAAAUUAAGGGAGUUGAUAUUGUGAAAGAGGUCACUUCAUUAAUGAAACAGAUAUCGCAACUAGUGGAAGACGUUGAAAAGCUGCUUGCAUGGAUCAAUGAAAAAUAGUUAGUAGGGGA